AUUAAAUGGGAUGUUAAUUUUCAUGAAUAUUUUCCCCAUGGUUGUAGCUUGUGGUCAUUGAGCAAUUUAGCAAUCACCAUGUGGUCUGUUGGACACACAGCCUGGAUGAAGUUCAAGAAAUUAGAAGCCAGUCAGUGGGGACAAGGCCAGAACUCAAAUUCAUGUGUUUUCACUUUCUUUCUUUUUUUUUUCCUCCCACCUCAGGGGAUGGUUGCUUCUUUAUUACAACUUAGGUGCAACCAUAUGCCUGAGAUCCCUUUGUACCACCCAUAUUGAUGUUCCUUCACAUUUUCACUCAUUUCAUUUUAGCUCAUGUCUGUCAGACUUGUAUUCUGGCUGUAAAAUCCAUGAUUCAAUGAUUAUUUGCCAGUUCAUUCUUUGCCUCAUCAUGUAGGGUAGAUUGCAUCAUUAAUUCCAAGGACACUUAUGUAUGGUACAAGGCGUAAACGAUUUCAUACUUAUCUUCAAAGUGAGAGGGGUUUGUUGGAAUUCUGGAAAUUACAAGCCUGUAAGAGAAGAAAUUUUGAUACAACGACUAUGGAAAAUCAGGGUCCUGUAUUUGACGUGAAUACCAUCUUAUGUUUUUACGGUACCUUUCCUACAUCAUAUGAUUGCAAUUAACUUUCACAACACUUUGUGAGACGUCUAAGGCAGGAACUCUAUCACAGUUCCUUCAUUACCCAUCCUAUAGUCCUUAGAAGUGAAACUAUGUUGCUCAAGCGGACACAGCUAGGAGUGGAAGACCUCCUGCUCCACCCACAUUCUCCUUCCUCCCUAUCAGCCCUCCCCCACCUCAAUACCCAAGCUGUGUCAUUAGAAAUUUGUUAUGGAUAACAAAUAUAGCACGAUUCUCCCAUGACUUAUUUUUCUCGGUUUUUAAUAAAUUGUAGCAAGUCAAAUUUUUAUUCCCAUUUGUUAAUAUUCCUGCAUGCUUUCUUGAAGAGAAACAGAGUGGAUGGAAAUGUCAUAUAUGCUCUAGGACAGCAAUCCCCAACCCUUUUGGCACCAGGGACCAGUUUCAUGGAAGGCAAUUUUUUCAUGGACCAGAGAUGAGGGAGUGGUAGGAUGGUUUUGGAAUGAAACUGUUCUACCUCAUGUCAUUAGGCAUUAGUUAGAUUAUCAUAAGGAUCACACAACCUAGAUUCUUCACAUGUGCAGUUCACAAUAGGGGUUCAUGCUCCUAUGAGAAUUUAAUGCCACUGCUGAUCUGACAGGUGGCAGAGCUCACAGUAAUUCUGGCUCGCCUGCCACUCACCUCUGGCUGUGCGGCCCAGUUCCUAACAGGCCAUGGACAGGUACCAGUCUGCAGCCUGAGGAUUGGGGACCCCUGCUCUAGGAGUUAUGUGUGACACACAGAUGUCAGCAUAUCUCAUUGGCACCACCUGAGGAAUGGGUGUAGCAUGCAAAUUGAUAUUUGACAUAUUGUUGAUGAGAGUUUGCAUACCCUCUACUGUGUUAGCCACUUCUGUCUACUGUCUUAGGAGGAGAUAUUUUAUAGGGUCACUUCAAUGAUUCUCAUUAUUUAAUUGCCACCCAUGGUAGAACCCCAGAAGUGAAACUUUUUGAUAUUCUCUUUUCCAGGAUAAAAUUCUCUGACAUCUGAAGUUGCUUUCUGAGAAUUAAAUAGUAAAUGAAUCUGAGAUGAAUCUUUAAAAGUUCACAAGUAGAUUAUGUUAUUUGUUUAGCCUAUGAAUAAUUACACAUAUAAUCAAUAAUACAUAGUAAAGCACAUUAGAUGUAUUCCCAAAUAUACAUAUAUAUAUGCAUAUAUAGAAAAUAUAUGAGCAAUCCAUUUUUAUUCAAUAUUAUUGGAAAAUCAAUUGAUCUGCAUAUGUAAAAUUUUGUCUUCCUUACUUAAAAACUUACCUUUUAAGUAUUUUAACAAUUUUGAUGGACUUUCCUUUGAACUGUUUUACAUACUUCUCUUUCAGGAAAGAAAGAGAAUAUGGAACUCAUUUAGUCCUUUUUGGAAGGCUUGUGUUAAUACUAUAAACAGAAUUUAUUUGCUCUGUUCUCUGAACACCUUGAAGAUUCUUUGAGACAUUCUGUCCAUUGUAUUUUUGCGGCUCUUUUCUUACCGGAAUAGCCAGUCUAGUGUUUAGAGGUUUUAGCCUGAUGAUCUCUAGCAUUCUCAUAAUUUGCUUCUUAUCUGCAUUGAGCUGCAGCUCACGAUAUAAAAGCAUUAGUAUUUCGUGUGAAGUAAGAGUUAAUAGGCCCUGAAUGAUUAGAGUACAUAUAAAUUAUGGGGGCUUGAUGUUGUGGAAUAAUAACCCUGAAUUGCUGAUUCUCAGGCCCCUUUUUUCCACUUUCUCUUUGGUUUCCAGGUAGGAUAUAAAGAAUAGAAGUUGCCUAAUAAGUGAAGUGUUACUCUCCAUUAAAAAACAAUGAGGUGCAUAUGAAUGCUUUAAAUCUUACUGGGAUUAGCAGUGUUUAGUUUGGGAUGACCAAGGGAUAAGCAGGGAGCACUUCUGGCUGUGCAUAAGAGAGGAGUGUUUUUAUUUGUGUUUGUCAAGGAUGAACUUAUGAGCAAACUACAAAAGGACAUUGCCUCUUUAACGGAGGCUCUGGCUUGUGUUCCUGGGAGCUUCGCAGCGUUUGUUCGUAAAGCAGCAUGAAAGAGUUGAUUUUCAUUUUAUGUUGUGCUUGUGAGGCAUUAGCAUGAUGUUCUAACACUUGUAAAUGAAUACAGCUCUCGCCUAAUCUGUCAUUUUAAUGCCUUAUAGAUUUUAUUUCACUCGAUGUUGUACCAGAUUCUCAAUAAUAAUAAUCAACUGCUUUGUUGUUCUCUUGCAGAAAUUAAAUUUCUGCAGUGAGUGUGCAACUAAUAAAAGAUGUUGCUUGAGGAAACAAAAAAUAAAUAUGAUGAAUCAUAAAAGUUGGGUGGGGGGAGAAGGGAAGUUGCUCCUAGAUGAAAGACAAUUACUGAACCAGUGGUGAAUGUGUCUGAUUCUCAUACUGUCAACAGCUUAAUAACCGUCACAAAGUCUUUAGCCACUGUACUUAUGUCUGAGCAUUAACCUCAUGGACUUGGCAUUUCCCACGAUUUCAUUGAAAAGCAUUAAAAUAAAAAGGUGAGGUGGUAAAAUCACUAUUCUCUUUGCUUUGCACCCUAGAUAAGUUUGCUCAGGGUUGCCAUUUUGCCACACAUACAUGUUAUCUUUUCCUUGUCAUGAGCUAUCCAGGAGAGCAGCAUCAAGGCAGCUGUGUGGGACUUGGAGUACUGGCAAAGACUGCAAAGUGGAAAAUAAACAGUGUGUCUAUCACCAAGCUACAAGAACACAGCACUCAGAGCAGUGAAAUGACAGUCCAUGGCAAGCAACUAAUUGGUCACCAGCUUUGGAGGAAAUACAUUAUUCCAGACCUCUGUCAUUUACCAUGUUCUUUAAACUAGAGAAAAAUCUGCCAGGUUGAAGUGUUGGCUGCAACCCCCAAAAGAAAGGAAAUAGAGAGUUAAGACUGCGAGGCUGGGCAGGCACUUUGGAGACUGAGUAAUUGAAGACAUCCAUUGCUAGAGAAAGAGUCAGUUUCCUGAGACAUAAUGAAUUCACCCCAUUGCGCACAGGUAUUGUGUGGGUCCAGCACCAGUUAUGUGAUGAACGUUGUAUUUCACAUAGCUUCUGCCUGAGAAUACAGGCUCAAGUGAAUUCAGCAUGUGACCACAUUUUUAUGAGAGCUGUCCCUUUUUUUUCACAGUUUGUCUCUCUAAUUUAUCGUUUCACUUGGAAAGGUUGAUACAUUGAUGAGCUACGAAAAGCAAGAGGGAACAUGCCCAUCUACUAAGAGGAGAAGAGAGCCUAAAACAUACACAUUCACUAAGGAAGAGAAAGCCAAAUGUGAGAAGCAAUAACACAUGGUUUGCCAAAGAAUCUGCAUUGAAUAAUACUGGUGGUGACCACAAGAACAUGCCUCUCUGACUGCAAGGAACAAGAGUGACCCAGGGUUUCAGCUGCUGCCUUGGAAAUUCAUCACAGUGCAAGUCUAUGCUUCCCACGGGCUGCUCCCAGCCUGUGAAUAAGCCUGGCAUCUUUGUUGAGGCAGGCCUAUUUCUGGAGAUGCAGGAUCCUCCGAUGGGCGAAUUUGGCUCUAGGACUGCUUGAUGGCCUUGACAGACUUUCCUUAGAAAUGCAUGGCAAUUUAGGGUUCCUCCACCCUUCCCUCUUUCUCUCCUUCACCUAGGGUCGGACUUGCAUCAUGGCCUGAAAGCUCCACCAGCCUCUCCUGCCCUCCUCCUCAUUUUCUUUCACAGGCAUAUCCUCUAAUAAAUUUCUUGCACAUUGAAUCUCAUCUUGGCAUCUACUUAUUGGAGGAUCUGAAAAUUCACAUUUUUAACACAAUAAUAAAAUUCACAUUUUUUCAUCAUCCACUAUAUGCCAAGUAAUGUGUUACUGUGUAGUCUCAUUAAAUCCUCUCAAAUCCAAGAGAUAAGAAUUACAUUUAUUUUACAAGAAGAAAAGCAGUCACUCUGAGAGGUAAAAUAAUGUAUAUGGCAGUAGAUUGCAGAGUUAGCAUUUGAAGAAUGUUCGGUUGUACUCCAAAGCCCACCACAAAACUCCACCACUAAACCACAGCACCUUUGGAGCAAUUGGAAUGACGAUUCUGUUCAAAUCAUAUUAAUACCAAUCACUGUAUUUGACUUUUUCGUUUAGAUGUGGCUGUGAUUGAAAAAUCAUGGUCUUUGUAUAUAGUCACCUGUUCUAUCUGCCUUUGUUUUGGGGGACUGCCACCUGAAAUUCCUGACUUUUACCCUGGGAGGGGCUUGUGCAGAGGAUCUGAGUUACUCAUCUGAACGGACUGCCUAAAGACACCUCAGUUUGUGUUGUCUGUGCAUUCACUCAGCCUCCAUAGCUAAACUAAGAUGCUGGGAAUGAGAGACUGUUCAAGGAGUAGAAGCCUUGCUUCUAGCUUCUAUAUUCCUCCUACCACCUAUGACUUUUAGCGUUGUCAGGGAAGUCAUGAGGUUAGAGCUGAUUUUUUUUUUAAGAAAAUGAGAAACAUAAAUGUUCUCUUUUCAAGGUUUCUGUUUGAUAGUGUUUGCUAGACAAAGUAGAAUUUUCACAGUACAAGUCCUUAGCUCAAGAGCUCCACUCAGUCAGCAGUUAUUUCAUCUGCCUUUUAUCCAGCCUUUCUCGUUUAAAAAAAGGAAAAAGAGAAAUUUAUCCACUCAAAGUGAGCUUUUUGCUAAACUUGUGUCUUUCCCUUGUUUGUCAUGUUAAUUACAUCCCAAACAACCCUAUUGCAGAGAAUUCUGCAAUCAAACCCCAAAGUCCCAUCAGAUGUACAGUGGCUUUUAAAGUGGACUGAUUUUUUAUGUAAUAAUAAAUUUAGUGUUAUGCUUACCUCUAAAUAAAUGCAGAUUCUGCUUCUUAGAA